rnacentral:rRNA from 1 species
UCCGGUUGAUCCUGCCGGACCCCACUGCUAUCGGGGUGGGACUAAGACAUGCUAGUCGUGCGCCUCCAAGCCACGGUGGAGGCGCGGCGCACAGCUCAGUAACACGUGGCUAACCUACCCUUGGGACAGGGACAACCCCGGGAAACUGGGGCUAAUCCCCGAUAGGUGAGGACUCCUGGAAUGGGUCCUCGCUGAAAGGGCGUCUAGACCAUGCUUCUAGACGCUGCCCAAGGAUGGGGCCGCGGCCGAUCAGGUUGUUGGUGAGGUAACGGCUCACCAAGCCUAAGACCGGUACGGGCCGUGAGAGCGGGAGCCCGGAGAUGGACACUGAGACAAGGGUCCAGGCCCUACGGGGCGCAGCAGUCGCGAAACCUCCGCAAUACGCGAAAGCGUGACGGGGCCACCCCGAGUGCCGUCCGCUGAGGACGGCUUUUCCCCAGUGUAGACAGCUGGGGGAAUAAGGGGAGGGCAAGUCGGGUGUCAGCCGCCGCGGUAAUACCCGCUCCCCGAGUGGUGGGGACGCUUAUUGGGCCUAAAGCAUCCGUAGCCGGCUGGACAAGUCCCCUGUUAAAUCCAGCGAUUUAAUCGCUGGACUGCGGGGGAUACUGUCCAGCUAGGGGGCGGGAGAGGCCGGCGGUAUUCCCGGGGUAGGGGUGAAAUCUUAUAAUCCCGGGAGGACCACCAGUGGCGAAGGCUGCCGGCUGGAACGCGCCCGACGGUGAGGGAUGAAAGCUGGGGGAGCGGACCGGAUUAGAUACCCGGGUAGUCCCAGCUGUAAACGAUGCGGGCUAGGUGUUGGCACGGCUACAAGCCGUGUCAGUGCCACAGGGAAGCCGUUAAGCCCGCCGCCUGGGGAGUACGGCCGCAAGGCUGAAACUUAAAGGAAUUGGCGGGGGAGCACCACAAGGGGUGAAGCUUGCGGUUUAAUUGGAGUCAACGCCGGA